rnacentral:rRNA from 1 species
UACGUAGGGGGCAAGCGUUGUCCGGAUUUAUUGGGCGUAAAGAGCGUGUAGGCGGCCAAGCAGGUCCGCUGUGAAAACUCGAGGCUCAACCUCGAGACGUCGGUGGAAACCGUUUGGCUAGAGUCCGGAAGAGGAGAGUGGAAUUCCCGGUGUAGAGGUGAAAUUCGUAGAUAUCGGGAGGAACACCAGUGGCGAAGGCGGCGAUCUGGGAAGAUACUGACGCUGAGGUGCGAAAGCGUGGGGAGCAAACGGG